rnacentral:rRNA from 1 species
AUUGAACGCUGGCGGCAUGCCUUACACAUGCAAGUCGAACGGCAGCACGGGUGCUUGCACCUGGUGGCGAGUGGCGAACGGGUGAGUAAUACAUCGGAACAUGUCCUGUAGUGGGGGAUAGCCCGGCGAAAGCCGGAUUAAUACCGCAUACGAUCUACGGAUGAAAGCGGGGGACCUUCGGGCCUCGCGCUAUAGGGUUGGCCGAUGGCUGAUUAGCUAGUUGGUGGGGUAAAGGCAUACCAAGGCGACGAUCAGUAGCUGGUCUGAGAGGACGACCAGCCACACGGGGACUGAGACACGGCCCAGACUCCUAGGGGAGGCAGCGGUGGGAAAUUUUCGACAAGGGGCGAAAGCCUGCGCCAGCAAUGCCGCGUGUGUGAAGAAGGCCUUCGGGUUGUAAAGCACUUUUGUCCGGAAAGAAAUCCUUGGCACUAAUACGGUCGGGGGAUGACGGUACCGGAAGAAUAAGCACCGGCUAACUACGU